rnacentral:rRNA from 1 species
GAUGAACGCUGGCGGCGUGCCUAAUACAUGCAAGUCGAGCGAACGGACGAGAAGCUUGCUUCUCUGAUGUUAGCGGCGGACGGGUGAGUAACACGUGGAUAACCUACCUAUAAGACUGGGAUAACUUCGGGAAACCGGAGCUAAUACCGGAUAAUAUUUUGAACCGCAUGGUUCAAAAGUGAAAGACGGUCUUGCUGUCACUUAUAGAUGGAUCCGCGCUGCAUUAGCUAGUUGGUAAGGUAACGGCUUACCAAGGCAACGAUGCAUAGCCGACCUGAGAGGGUGAUCGGCCACACUGGAACUGAGACGCGGUCCAGACUCCUACGGGAGGCAGCAGUAGGGAAUCUUCCGCAAUGGGCGAAAGCCUGACGGAGUAACGCCGCGUGAGUGAUGAAGGUCUUCGGAUCGUAAAACUCUGUUAUUAGGGAAGAACAUAUGUGUAAGUAACUGUGCACAUCUUGACGGUACCUAAUCAGAAAGCCACGGCUAACUACGUG